GACGAACGCUGGCGGCGUGCUUAACACAUGCAAGUCGAACGGAAAGGCCCUGCUUUUGUGGGGUGCUCGAGUGGCGAACGGGUGAGUAACACGUGAGUAACCUGCCCUUGACUUUGUGAUAACUUCAGGAAACUGGGGCUAAUACCGGGUAGGAGCUCCUGCUGCGUGGUGGGGGUUGGAGAGUUUCGGCGUUUGUGGAUGGACUCGCGGCUUAUCAGCUGGUUUGUGGGGUAGUGGCUGACCAAGGCUUUGACGGGUAGCCGGCCUGAGAGGGUGACCGGGCACCUUGGGCCUAAGGUAGGGCGCAGACUCCUACGGGCGGCAACAGUGGGGAAUAUUGCACAAUGGGCGGACGCCUGAUGCAGAAACGCCGCGUGCGGGAUGCCGGCCUACGGGUUGUGAACCGCUUUCGCCUGUGACGAAGCGUGAGUGACGGUAAUGGGUCAAGAAGCAACGGCUAACUACGUG
rnacentral:rRNA from 1 species